AACUUAUGCUCGGUUCCACCAACGUUAGAUUAAUUUUAAUUUUGGUUCAACUUAUUCUUCAUCUUUUUCUAAUUCUUAGAAAAAGAUAAAGAGUAAGUUGAACCGAGAUUAAAAUUAAUCAACAUUGGUGAAAAUGGGCAUUAGUGAACUAUAUAACAUUAUGGUUGCGUUCCGAAAUUCAUUGCCAGUAUUAAAAAUCUACAAUAUACGUAACGAAAAUUAUAGAUUUCCAACAUUGGUAGUGAAUUUCGGAACGCAGCUUCUGGUGUGUGCCAAAAAGAGCCGUGGUGGUCAUUGUGGAAAAAAGAGAGAUACAUUAUAAUGUUUACGAUUUAAUGGAUUUUGAUCGACUCAAGCUUGAUUAAUUACUAUUUUACUAUGAAUUCAAGUCUUUUAUUGAUGCAGACGGUGGUGCAAUGACGUCAUUAAUCAAUCUUGGGUCGAUCAAACUUCGUUCAUUCGAAAACGCUAUUAGAUGGAGAAAUGUGUCUCAUGUCUGUUUUGGUUUUAAUAUCCUCCACCAUAUUGGUAGUAAAUGUGAAAGAAAGACAGAUAUCUCCGUCUACUGUUGCAAUCUUUUGAUCACAAAUUACACAUUAGUUCUUAUAGGAAAGACUCAUUUCAGUAUGUUAUGCAGCUCAAAGAAGCAAAGGACAGGAGUUUGGUCUCAUGUCUUUAGUCUUUUAGGUUUUUAUAUGUAGUCGUAUAUUUGAAAUAAUAUGCAACAAACACUAAUCUAAAGGAAUUUUAGGAAUUCCGUAAUAGAUAAAACAGAAGAUUGUUCAAAUUAUCGUUAUAAACCUGGUGCUUUCCAACUACUAUGGGAGGAUCCUCACACUAUUCUAAUGUGUUAUGAUUCUUAUAUUAAAAAAUGGAUAAAAGAACAUCCGAAUUUGUACGUACAUGGAAUUGUUCAUCCAAAAAUAAAAUAUUAACAUGUUUUACAACAGAUAAUUUAUACACUAUUAUGACGGGGACGAUUAAUGAUAAAGUUCUUCUAUGGGAUCAGAGACAAAAUGCUUACAUUCAAAGAUAUAAGAUUUGGCAUAAAGAACCCGGAAUACAUUCUAUACAAUUUGAUAGCGCCCAUCUGUAUAUUGCUACAGGCUAUAAUUUAUUUCAAUA